rnacentral:rRNA from 1 species
GAUGAACGCUGGCGGCGUGCUUAACACAUGCAAGUCGAACGAUGAUGCCCAGCUUGCUGGGUGGUUUAGUGGCGAACGGGUGAGUAACACGUGAGUAACCUGCCCUUGACUCUGGGAUAAGCCUGGGAAACUGGGUCUAAUACCGGAUACGACCAUCUGGCGCAUGUCAUGGUGGUGGAAAGCUUUUGUGGUUUUGGAUGGACUCGCGGCCUAUCAGCUUGUUGGUGGGGUAAUGGCCUACCAAGGCGACGACGGGUAGCCGGCCUGAGAGGGUGACCGGCCACACUGGGACUGAGACACGGCCCAGACUCCUACGGGAGGCAGCAGUGGGGAAUAUUGCACAAUGGGCGCAAGCCUGAUGCAGCGACGCCGCGUGAGGGAUGACGGCCUUCGGGUUGUAAACCUCUUUCAGUAGGGAAGAAGCGAAAGUGACGGUACCUGCAGAAGAAGCGCCGGCUAACUACGUG